GCACGGUACAGACGGAGAAGGGGACAUGUGAGGGAGUCGGAGCAGUGGUGGCCAUGAGAACCAGCCGGUCAACUGGUCGGAGAACACCGGCCGAACGACGUGUCACCAUCGGGUGGACGUGGCGCCUCUGCUAUUAGUCGGCCUGGUCACCUAAAAGUGGCCAAUUAGCUGGACGACUCGAUUGGACUUUCUGGUCGUCUAGAUCGUCCGAUUAAGCGUCCAGAUCGUCAAUUAAGCGUCCGAUUAGAGGGUUUCUGGACGUCCAGUCCAGUGGCGGCUAGGGUUUAGUGAUGGCUAGGGUUUACUAUUGGGCUUUAUUGUUUUUUCGGCCCAUCUACAGUCACAUAAACAGUGGCGGCCAUCCAGUGCAACUGAAACCCUAGCCAUAACUCAAGACCUGCCUGUGCCCCUGCCCAUCGUCCAGCGGCGGCCGUCCAGUCUCCAGUGUAUUCAUCGGCGGAUCCUCCAGUCCACCUGCGCCGGCUCCACAUCCACUUCUGGCGUCUCCAGGACUCCAGGUCACCAGCGUCGUCUCCUGACCAGCACCAGUGACGAAGACGAACUGACGAUUGACGAGAUGAGCUCGUCAUCUGAAGAAUUGUAUCCUGGUCUUAUGAAGCAAAUAUGAAUCAGCAGGAGUUUUCAACUGAAUUUCUUCAUCUCCAUGGCAUGCAAGUUAUACUCUAAGCCCAAUACUUCCAAACCAUCAGGGUCAGUAUCUCUCUAUGGUCUUUACCCACAUUGCGUACAAGCUUACAUCAGAAUAAUGCAAUAUGAUACCCAGAUUUUCAGCAGAACUCACAAACAUUUUGGAAACAAUGUCUAGUAGCUGAUAUGGGUGACACAAAUUCGGAAAAGUUGAUGUUGGUGUCUCACAGUUCCAAUAGCUAUGAUGAAACAAUGAAAUGUACAAUUUUCAGCACCAGAAGAGCAAAUGAGGCAACUUAGCUGAAGACAUACCGAAGAACUAGCUGCAUAAUUCAAAUUUGUGCUCUGUUGGUCAUCCGAUGAUGUUUUUUGAUUCCUAGUGUUCAAAAGAUGGACUACAACGGCCUGAAUAAGUAGAUCCAAAACUUAGUUUCAACAAAAAACUAGAGAUCAAGUGAGACAAUUAAUCUAAGUACCUUCCUGAAAUCA